AUUGCUGUGGUGCGGGUAAUAAUUCACGAAAACAAAGCCGCGUUCCUGAUCGAUGCAGUGGAACAACGGGUUCCAGUCAAACAUGGCGAGGAUGUAGCUCGGCGUUGCGUUGGCGACGAACAUCUUGCCAGAGGCGAUCAUGUUCAUGCGUG
rnacentral:ncRNA from 1 species